rnacentral:rRNA from 4 species
UUGGAGGGCAAGUCUGGUGCCAGCAGCCGCGGUAAUUCCAGCUCCAAUAGCGUAUAUUAAAGUUGUUGCAGUUAAAAAGCUCGUAGUUGAAUUUCGGGGUUAGUAGGUUGGUCAUGCCUCUGGUAUGUACUGGUCUCACUGAUUCCUCCUUCCUGAUGAGCCGUAAUGCCAUUAAUUUGGUGUUGCGGGGAAUUUGGACUGUUACUUUGAAAAAAUUAGAGUGUUUAAAGCAAGCUAACGCUUGAAUACAUUAGCAUGGAAUAAUGAAAUAGGACGUUCGAUCCUAUUUUGUUGGUUUCUAGGAUUGACGUAAUGAUUAAUAGGGAUAGUUGGGGGCAUUAGUAUUCAAUUGUCAGAGGUGAAAUUCUUGGAUUUAUUGAAGACUAACUACUGCGAAAGCAUUUGCCAAGGAUGUUUUCAUUAAUCAAGAACGAAAGUUAGGGGAUCGAAGACGAUCAGAUACCGUCGUAGUCUUAACCAUAAACUAUGCCGACUAGGGAUCGGAUGAUGUUAAUUUUUUAAUGACUCAUUCGGCGCCUUACGGGAAAC